rnacentral:rRNA from 1 species
AUUGAACGCUAGCGGGAUGCUUUACACAUGCAAGUCGAACGGCAGCGCGGACUUCGGUCUGGCGGCGAGUGGCGAACGGGUGAGUAAUGUAUCGGAACGUGCCCAGUAGCGGGGGAUAACUACGCGAAAGCGUAGCUAAUACCGCAUACGCCUUACGGGGGAAAGCAGGGGAUCGUAAGACCUUGCACUAUUGGAGCGGCCGAUAUCGGAUUAGCUAGUUGGUGAGGUAACGGCUCACCAAGGCGACGAUCCGUAGCUGGUUUGAGAGGACGACCAGCCACACUGGGACUGAGACACGGCCCAGACUCCUACGGGAGGCAGCAGUGGGGAAUUUUGGACAAUGGGGGCAACCCUGAUCCAGCCAUCCCGCGUGUGCGAUGAAGGCCUUCGGGUUGUAAAGCACUUUUGGCAGGAAAGAAACGUCGCGGGCUAAUACCCCGUGGAACUGACGGUACCUGCAGAAUAAGCACCGGCUAACUACGUG